CGUGAGGGAGGAGGCUCUUGGGUCGUAAACCUCUUUUCUCAGGGAAGAAAUAAUGACGGUACCUGAGGAAUAAGCAUCGGCUAACUCCGUGCCAGCAGCCGCGGUAAUACGGAGGAUGCAAGCGUUAUCCGGAAUGAUUGGGCGUAAAGCGUCCGCAGGUGGCUAUGUAAGUCUGCUGUUAAAGAGUCUAGCUCAACUAGAUAAAAGCAGUGGAAACUACUUUGCUAGAGUACGUUCGGGGCAGAGGGAAUUCCUGGUGUAGCGGUGAAAUGCGUAGAGAUCAGGAAGAACACCAGUGGCGAAGGCGCUCUGCUAGGCCGUAACUGACACUGAGGGACGAAAGCUAGGGGAGCGAAUGGGAUUAGAUACCCCCCGUAAACGAUGGGUACUAGGUGUGGCUUGUAUCGCCCGAGCCGUGCCGUAGCUAACGCGUUAAGUACCCCGCCUGGGGAGUAUGCCGGCAAGUGUGAAACUCAAAGGAAUUGACGGGGCCCGCACAAGCGGUGGAGUAUGUGGUUUAA
rnacentral:rRNA from 1 species